AAUAGGAAAUUUAAGGGCGUAUGGUGGAUGCCUUGGCUCCAAGAAGGUGAUGAAGGACGUGGCUUGGCGGCGAUACGCUACGGGGAGGUGCCUAGCAACCUUUGAUCCGUAGAUGUCCGAAUGGGGGAACCCGUCUGCUAUUGCAGACACCCUAUCAAUUAGAUAGGGAACGCACCCAGUGAAGUAAAACAUUUCAGUAACUGGAGGAAAAGAGAACAAUUGUUAUUUCGUUAGUAGCGGCGAGCGAAAACGAAACAGCCCAAACUUAGUUUCAUUCUCACCACAUCUUUAGUGGUGUUGUGGGAAUGAUGCUGAGGGUUAUAAGGUGGUAAUGUCUCAACUUCGGUUGAGAGAAGAGUUAAAAAAUAUCUGGUUAGGCGAAGCUUCUGGAAAGUAGCACCCAAGUGGGUAAUAGUCCCGUAGCCGAAAAUCGGAUGUCUCUUUUGUUACCGUCCUUGAGUACCUCGAGACACGAAUAGCUCGGGGGAAUGUGCCGGGACUAACCGGUAAGGCUAAAUACUCUUGGAGACCGAUAGUGAACUAGUACCGUGAGGGAAAGGUGAAAAGCAGCCCGAGAGGGCGGUGAAAUAGACCUGAAACCAUAUGUUUACAAGGAGUCAAUGAGGUUUCGCCGUAAGGCGAAACCUCUAUGGCGUGCCUAUUGAAGAAUGAGCCAACGAGUUUUAGCAUACUGCGCGGCUAAGCGCCGAUAAAGCGUGGAGCCAUAGGGAAACCGAGUGUGAAUAGCGCGUUUAUCCCGCCUUUGGCGGGGUUGGUAGUAUGCUAAAGACCCGAAGCCAGAGCGAGCUUGUCAUGAGCAGGGUGAACAGAACCGAAAGGUUCUGGGAGGCCCGAACCGUUGAGCCGUGCAAUACUCUCGGAUGACUUGUGAUAAGAAGUGAAAAGCUAAUCGAGCCUGGUAAUAGCUGGUUCUCUCCGAAAUAACUUUUGGGUUAGCGUCGAGUGUUUCCAUCAGUGGUAGAGCACUGGAAGGUCUGGACUGGUCGCAAGAUCGCCGGACCUAUCAAACUCCGAAUACUGAUGAUUAAUAGCUCGGCAGUUAGACUCCGGGGGCUAAGCUCCGGCGGUCAAAAAGGAAACAGCCUAGAUCUCUAUUUAAGGUCCCUAAAGUCAUUCUAAGUGCACUUAAGGAGGUGAAAUUUCUCUGACACUGAGUAGGUAGGCUUAGAAGCAGCCAUCCUUUAAAGAAAGCGUAACAGCUCACUCAGUAAGAGAUUUUGCACCGCAGAUUCAUGGGGCUAAGCAUGGUACCGAAACUGAGGAUUUGGAUGCUGAUUUUAACCCUGCUGAUACUUAACCUGCCAGGUUGAGAAUUCUUAAACCUGGCAGGUUUGAGCAGGGUUGGGACCAGCAUCCAAGUGGUAGGAGAGUAUUCCGAUCUGCAGUGAAGGCGAAGGGGUGACCCACGCUGGAGCGUUCGGAAGUAAGAAUGUUGGCACAAGUAA
rnacentral:rRNA from 1 species